AUGACAGCACGUGCAAACGCGCGAAAGUCUUGGUCACGUGGAGGAUACCAGACGACAGAGGUGUCUGAUUUGAAAAUGUCGGAUUUUUCGCUUAUGUUCGGAGAGCAAAGUUUCGACAACAGCAAACCAUCUGCCGAUGAAAUGAGGUGGGCAGAUCAAAGAGCAACUGCAUGAACAAGCACCUGUUCUUGGCAUCAAGGAUGAAGUCAUCUUGUACCAUCAUGAAGCUGCCGGAAGCUGAUCAUGACAUGUGAAUUGAAGAAAUCCUUCACUUGUGGACUUGACUAUUGUAUGUGCUGCUCCUGAGUUCUUGAUACAGUGUCAUAUUCAAACAAGGAUUAGAGAAAGUGCAUGUGAUUCAGUGAUCAAUUUGCUGUUCCUCAUAUCACAGUGGAAGAUGUACAGUAAAGGUGGCCCUGAUAGUUUGCUUGCCGAUCGUAAUGUGUCUGUCCCCGCAAACUUCUGAUCCAAGAGAGACUUGUGAAAACUGGUCAACCCGUUAUGUAGUAUCUAGAGUUAACUCUUCUGCAUCCAGAAAAAAAUCGUCGCCGCCUCUUCAGGAAGAAGCAUGCACUGAUGAAAGACCAAAGUUAAAUGAUUCAAGUGCCACUCAAACUUUCUUAUAACUUUUUGACGCAAUAUCUUGUGCAAGAUCGCCAGAUAUGUUGAUGCUUUGUUUGUUGAGAGAUGUCUGUGACCAGUUGAUCUUGAUCUUUGAUGUUCCCUAAUCAUUCACUGUUGAGAGGAUCAGGCAGCAUGGUACAAUCACUCGCUCUCUGUACUGUGUUCUGAAAUGAUUUGUCCACCAUAAGUGAUGAGUUUCGGUACUCAUGAAAUACAUCAGUAGACAUUGAUAUUUACAUUGAAGGAUAGCCUUCAUUUAGUUGAGGUGUGUGCAUGGUUCAGGGGGGAUAUUUGUAGUAAUAUAGUCAUAACUCUAAACAAGUGUUUAGCAUAAAAAAACAUGACAGUUCCUUGUCAGCACCUGAUUGUCAAAAUGACAUCCCCCCUCAGUUUGAGCACAAGAUAAGUAUGGCAGUUUGAUCACAUCAAAAUGCAUUAAUAUGAUCCAGCUGGACUUGGUUUCUUUAAGUGGCAUGCAUCUUU